CCGGCGAGGGGAGUGAAAAAGAACCUGAAACCGUGUACGUACAAGCAGUGGGAGCACCCUUUGGGGUGUGACUGCGUACCUUUUGUAUAAUGGGUCAGCGACUUAUAUUCUGUAGCAAGGUUAACCGAAUAGGGGAGCCGGAGGGAAACCGAGUCUUAAUUGGGCGUUAAGUUGCAGGGUAUAGACCCGAAACCCGGUGAUCUAGCCAUGGGCAGGUUGAAGGUUGGGUAACACUAACUGGAGGACCGAACCGACUAAUGUUGAAAAAUUAGCGGAUGACCUGUGGCUGGGGGUGAAAGGCCAAUCAAACCGGGAGAUAGCUGGUUCUCCCCGAAAGCUAUUUAGGUAGCGCCUCGUGAAUUCAUCUCCGGGGGUAGAGCACUGUUUCGGCUAGGGGGCCAUCCCGGCUUACCAACCCGAUGCAAACUGCGAAUACCGGAGAAUGUUAUCACGGGAGACACACGGCGGGUGCUAACGUCCGUCGUGAAGAGGGAAACAACCCAGACCGCCAGCUAAGGUCCCAAAGUCAUGGUUAAGUGGGAAACGAUGUGGGAAGGCCCAGACAGCCAGGAUGUUGGCUUAGAAGCAGCCAUCAUUUAAAGAAAGCGUAAUAGCUCACUGGUCGAGUCGGCCUGCGCGGAAGAUGUAACGGGGCUAAACCAUGCACCGAAGCUGCGGCAGCGACGCUGAUGCGUUGUUGGGUAGGGGAGCGUUCUGUAAGCCUG
rnacentral:rRNA from 1 species